rnacentral:rRNA from 1 species
AAUAGAUACCCGGGUAGUCCACGCCGUAAACGAUGAGUGCUAAGUGUUAGAGGGUUUCCGCCCUUUAGUGCUGCAGCUAACGCAUUAAGCACUCCGCCUGGGGAGUACGGCCGCAAGGCUGAAACUCAAAGGAAUUGACGGGGGCCCGCACAAGCGGUGGAGCAUGUGGUUUAAUUCGAAGCAACGCGAAGAACCUUACCAGGUCUUGACAUCCUCUGCCAACCCUAGAGAUAGGGCGUUCCCCUUCAGGGGACAGAGUGACAGGUGGUGCAUGGUUGUCGUCAGCUCGUGUCGUGAGAUGUUGGGUUAAGUCCCGCAACGAGCGCAACCCUUGAUCCUAGUUGCCAGCAUUCAGUUGGGCACUCUAAGGUGACUGCCGGUGACAAACCGGAGGAAGGUGGGGAUGACGUCAAAUCAUCAUGCCCCUUAUGACCUGGGCUACACACGUGCUACAAUGGAUGGUACAAAGAGCUGCGAACCCGCGAGGGUAAGCGAAUCUCAUAAAGCCAUUCUCAGUUCGGAUUGU